CGUAACAAGGUCUCCGUAGGUGAACCUGCGGAGGGAUCAUUACACAAAUAUGAAGGCGGGCUGGAACCUCUCGGGGUUACAGCCUUGCUGAAUUAUUCACCCUUGUCUUUUGCGUACUUCUUGUUUCCUUGGUGGGUUCGCCCACCACUAGGACAAACAUAAACCUUUUGUAAUUGCAAUCAGCGUCAGUAACAAAUUAAUAAUUACAACUUUCAACAACGGAUCUCUUGGUUCCGGCAUCGAUGAAGAACGCAGCGAAAUGCGAUAAGUAGUGUGAAUUGCAGAAUUCAGUGAAUCAUCGAAUCUUUGAACGCACAUUGCGCCCUUUGGUAUUCCAAAGGGCAUGCCUGUUCGAGUGUCAUUUGUACCCUCAAGCUUUGCUUGGUGUUGGGCGUCUUGUCUCUAGCUUUGCUGGAGACUCGCCUUAAAGUAAUUGGCAGCCGGCCUACUGGUUUCGGAGCGCAGCACAAGUCGCACUCUCUAUCAGCAAAGGUCUAGCAUCCAUUAAGCCUUUUUUUCAACUUUUGACCUCGGAUCAGGUAGGGAUACCCGCUGAACUUAAGCAUAUCA
rnacentral:rRNA from 1 species